ensembl:lncRNA
AAACAAUCAAAGAUUGAUGCGUUGGUAAAUUGAAUCAGCUGUGUAGUGCUAGGGAAAAACACCAAACAUUCACCUGGGGGCCCAGGACCGACUAUGGGAACGUUGGGCUAGAGUGCACAUGCCAAGGCCAGAGUAGGCAUAUUUGCUAUUUAAUUAAUGCAACAGUUUUAGUGAAAAAACUAUCGGUAGAGUUGAAAAUGCGAUGGAAACAUGUUGAACUAUAAGCUUUUUUUUUAGCUCUCUGAUUUUGUUCCGCAAAAAGUACAUUUGGUUGAAACCCCACUGGUGUGGAAAAGGCGCAUAUUUACUUUUUGCUUAUUCUGCAGUAUUCACUUAAAUCUGCCGCCAAUUGGACAGAAACCUAGCUCGUCGAGCUGUAUGCGAUUGAAUGUAGUAACCACCGGGGCGGCAGGGUAGCCUAGUGGUUAGAGCGUUGGACUUGUAACCGCAAGGUUGCAAGUUCAAACCCCCGAGCUGACAAGGUACAAAUCUGCUGUUCUGCCCCUGAACAGGCAGUUAACCCACUGUUCCUAGGCCGUCAUUGAAAAUAAGAAUUUGUUCUUCACUGACUUGCUUGGGUAAAAAAAAAAAUGCGUAUUUGCAUGCCUUAAAUUGUCCUUCAAAGAUUCCGUAGGUGAUCCUUAUAAAUAGACACCACCCCGUUUUUCGUUCUCUUGUUCUCACUCAGAAGUCUGAGCAUGUCUCCAAGGUGAAGAGUACAAUGAGGAAGAUUAGAUGCCACCAUGACCUAUUGGUGUCACUGUCCAAGCAAAUGGCACAUGAACGUAGCAGUAAGGCCUGCCUUUUCUCCGUGAAAGAAUAUAGUGAUAAAGGGUGGUGCAGCACUGCUUGCUGACUUACUGGUUAGUGGGUCAUGAUGUGACUCCACAAUGGAUGUGAAGUUGCCAAUGCGAAAUUGGUAUACCGCUGGUUGGUGUCCUAGCGGCUGUGACCUGGAAGUAGCAGAAUGAUUGCCGCCUUUCCUCCCUGAAAGAAUGCUGUGCAGUGUGCACAUAACAGCGAUAAAGGAUGGUCUGGAGGUGCAGCAGUGCUGACCUACUGGUUAUAGUGGGUCAUGAUGAGGCGCCACAAGCCACGGUAAGUCCUUGCUGAGUUUGGUUAUGCACUGGCUAAAUGUCUUGUUCUCCUAGCAAUCUGCCCCUUGAGGUGUUGCAGUCCGACUGUACGUGUUGAGCCUGUGUCAUGAGGGGCGGAGAGUGACAGGGCUAUGUCUACGCCAAGGACCCAGAACAGUGGGUACUUGGAGUGAUCAUAGCGCCAACAUUGGCAGCAGUAUAUGAAAUGUAAUGCAGAUGUAACCUGGAAGUAGCAGAAUAAUUGCCGCCUUUCCUCCCUGAAAGAAUGCUGUGCACAGAACGAGUCUGACAGUGUGGGGUUGACAUGGCGCCACAGGUCAUUGUAAGUCUGCCUCAUUUGGUUACACACUGGCUAAAUGUAUAUUGGUCUCAUCGAAAUCUGCCCCUUGAGGUGUUGCAGUCCGACUAUGUGUUGAGCCUGUGUCAUGAGGGGCGGAGAGUAACCGGGCUACGUCUACGCCAAGGACCCAGGACAGUGGGUACUUUGCAUGACUAUGGCGCCGAUAUUGGGACCCAUUUUAGACCAGCAGACAAAUGUCAACUUCUAGUGCUUGAACAGGUGGCCGAGUGCUUGAUUUAAGCUCCCUCGGUAGUUUAGCUUGUUUUGCCAAAACCACUUAUUACUGACUGGUAAUUGCCAUUGGGCCAAUACUUAGUUGAUUCAACUAACCUGAGGUUUUAUGACUUGGUCACUUUUUUUAAAGGGUUGCCAGGUUUUUUAUAUUAUUCUCACCAAUUUCCUGAUUUGAUCGAUGGGACAGGUGCUGAAGAACGACUGAAGAUUGGCCUGUUGAAGAUGAAAGGUGGCAGUACCUUAGAAGAAAGCAGAUUGUUCAGUUGCCAGUCCUAGACUAGGGUGCCAUCUGAUUGUGUAUGCAGCUGCCACUAUUAUAGCCGUUAGAUGCCGUUAAUCACAGCAAGCUCAGUUUUAGUUUCUGGUUAUCACGUGAAAACCCUUUACUCUGGGUGACCUAGGUGAAAUUGGCUCAACAAAUAUUAAUUAAACAUACCUGCCCUGUUCGAUUUGAAUAAAUGUAUUGCUUUCAAGAUAAUUAAAAUAAACUCAAGCUGAUCUCAG